GAAACCCUAAACACUAGGUUCGGUUAGGGUUAAAGAUCAACCAUAGACAACUUGUCCCAACCUAUGAUCCAUGUCCAAAGCAUCUCAUAAACACUAUGAAUAGAAGAUAUAAGAAGUUUAGACAUCAAUUGAAACAAAUUAUAUGAAUGUAAUCAUAGUUAUGUAAAGGGUUAUUAACAAUGCAAAAUUAAUGGAACAUGGUAAACAUGCUCUAAAAGUAAUGCAAUAUUAUAGAGAUUUUCCUAACACAUCAUGCUAUAACUUAGAAAAAAGAACCACAUGAAAAGAUUAGAAAA
rnacentral:misc_RNA from 1 species